ensembl:lncRNA
CUUCUCCAGGAACUGAAUGCUGAAUGAACACUGGAGAGCAGGUUCUUACUUUAAUGGCUCAGUUCCAAUGGCUGGGAUGUGCAGCAGUCUCUUAACGAGGUCCUGCAGUUGUGUAAUUGUGCUAUUAAAUGACCUUUUUUCUUGCACGAGGAGUAGGUUAGUGAGCUCUGUUUUUUCAAUAGGCUCUUGUGUGGAUUCGUGAGAAUCUAAUUCCUAAUGAUAACUGAGUUUUGCAUAAAAGCAGGUUGUUAACAGAGCUCUUGUUCCUGUUGGUGACUCCAGACAUGUGGUUCUGCAUCUUCAGCAGCUGCUUGGUGUCUCUGGAGCAGUGAUCAUCCCUGCUUCAGUUGCAUGCCCCCACGCUAUCCUUCACGUUAGCUCUGUUUGGCUGUACCAAGCAAUGAUUGCAGUCACUAAUUGCACAGAAAUGUAACACCCUGCAGGAUAUUUUUCCAACUGAAUUAGUAGACUCCACUGUUUAUUUUAUGUGGUCAGACUGAUGCCAAAAUCACUGCUAGGAAGGAGAUAGGAGAAGUAGAAGCCUAGGGGGGAGGUGGGAGCACGCACAGUCUGAAUGGGUCAGCUGUCUUGUAAAUGUGUGCUGUGGUGCCAAAUGGCAUAAAUCAGUUUGUUUUUCUGCUGUCCUGUUGACAGAGGUGAAGACGAUCAACUAAUGGGCAAUACAUAACCUGGAGAAAAGUCCUGCCCCUUUGCUGAGGGAUGUGCUUUGCAUCAGAACGCCAAAACAGGAGGUUGUACUCUAGGGUUGGUAACUGUUGGGAAGAGAGCUGUAAGGGAUCAGUUGUGUUCCCUAGCAGGAGAUGACUUGAGCUCACCCUUUAAGUUCUGUCCUUCCUUUGCUGAUUCAGUUAUUGUAUGGAAAUUCCCCUGUAUAUAAGCUGAUCUAAAGUAACCCUGCUGUUUCUGUAGUUCCUUGUACAGGCAUCAUCUGCACAGCUGUUGUAACUCAGGGUGAUGCUAAGAUCAUGUCAAACCGGUGGCUGGUUUUUCUCCUACAGAUGUCCCUGUGCUGUGCCACCAGCAAUGUUAGUGAGCCCAGCAGGACAGAUGGGGAGACAAACUGAGUUCUACUGCUUUUCCAGGGAGAUGUUGAUCUACUCAGGCAUAUUCUUUCAUUCUGUCUUCCUUCUCUUUCCCGGUAAUGUGCUUAUUCUUACUCUCAGUGCUGUGCAUUAUACUUAAAUGUAGCCUUUACUAAAACAAGGGUAUUGUGUUGUAGGUAUGCUUCUCCUUUCUUACACAUCUGAGGUGUACCUGCAUGUAUCUUUACCAGCACCAUUUGAGCCACCUGGACUCCUUAGGAGUGUGUUUAUUGACAUUUCUCAAAUGGCAACACAUUGCUGGGUAAAUGCUGCCUGUUGUCUAAAGGGCUUUCCAAGCAGUACACUCCCUCAUCUGACCUGAGGAUUUUGUUGUUUGCACCGUGCUUGAGGUAUGUCAGUAUGUCAGCUCUUCCUUUCUUAGCAGGCUCUCAGGAGGGAGCUUGGGCAAGUUGCAGCCACCUUGGUGAUUAGGUCAGAUCACUGUGCUUCUGAAGCUAAUCUCCAAGCUGCUUGUAGGUAAUGUGCUCUAGUUAUCAUCCCAGAGUGUUCUUGCAGUGUGCUGCUUGGGUUUGUGUUAGGUUUGUGGUUGUGAGUGUGGGCUGGAAGGAUGUGAGGGAAGUGCCCCUAUGGAGUACCCAGAGAGCAAGCCUCUCCCUGCCCUCCUGCAGCUCAGCAUUGUUUCUUCCAGGUGUGACACAGCCACCAUGGUCCCACAGAGAAAAAGGCAAAAGGGAAGAGAAAGCUCAUGUCUCCAGCACACUUGAAUUGGGUACUGUUCUCUAGCAGCUUAUGGGGUUUCUAUCUGUGGGACCUGGCUGGAGUUGGUUUGUAGGGCCCCUGGAAAACGCAUGGUGUUACUGUUGGGUAUGGUUUCACUUGGCAAAUCUGCUCUUCGUGUCUCUGCCAUUUGCUCCUGUAGACACAGCUAAAAACAGACUGAUUUUUGGCACGUUCCCAAGAGACAGCGAUGUCCUGUUACUUGGCCACCAUCUAGGUCUCAUUUUGCAGCUGGUAGCAGCUGCCUCCUUUUAAAAACAGCCUGUGAGUGGGAAUUGAGAGAGCUGUUGUGUCAGCAUUGCCCCUGACCCAGCCUUCCUGUUGCCUUAACUUGUACUAAUGAGCUUCUCACUGUGCAGAUAUGUCACGUGGGGUACUUCUGGGGUCCUGUGCUGGGGAGGUAUGCUGCUUUGCUUUUCCCUCCCACCCAUACUCUGCUUCCUCGGGGAAGCAUUCCUCACUGGUGUUCCUCUUCAGCCCCUGAUCUGAGCCCCUGGGUUACUGCUUGGGUGCCUGGAUACUUUCCUGUCAGGGAAACAUGCUCCUGUUAGAGGGGAUCAAGUGCAUAAGAGGAAAGUACUGCUUAAAAAACUGUAAAGAAGAAUCUAGAAGUAGUUAAGCUGAGAAUAAAUUAGUUCUAGCUAGCAAAAUGGUAAGGUGACUUCUCCUGGUGAUUGUUUGUUACCUCAGUUCCUUUUGUGAUCUGUCCUUUCAUGAGCUGAAUCAGUUCCUGAAACUCAGGCUGGGAGAUCAGGGAGCUGCUGGUUGGCUGUGGCUCCUGUGAGGUUCUGCCCUGAAUGACUUGUCCAGCAUUGUGCAAGAAGCUGGUAACGGGGCAUGGGCUGGAGCUUAGCAGACAGGUUAUCUUAACUGGAGAUCCUGCUGCCCAGUCAUAAGCAUGCUGGCAAGUCCAAGCCCUCUUCUCUCUUGCUGUGCAAGCCAAUGCAAGCAGGCCAACACCUGCUUGCUGUAGUGAGGUUCAUCCCUUAUCUAGCGGCUCC